CACACACACUAAGUGUUCCUUUUCUAACAUUCUUUAGCAUUGACUAUAUUCAUUAAUGCCACUCGUCUUAUAAUUUCAACAUGCAUAUAUUUUAUCAUCCAUUGGUAGUCAUUACUUAGCAUUUCAUGCAUUCUUUAACAUCUACCACAUGCAUUCUCGAUUCGCAUAAAUCUCAUAUAUUCAUUAGCAUCUAUCACAUGCUUUCUCAUUCACAAUUAGCAUCUCUA
rnacentral:lncRNA from 1 species